GACGUAGGGCACGAGCGUUGUCCGGAUUUAUUGGGCGUAAAGAGCUCGUAGGCGGCUUGUUGCGUCAGCUGUGAAAACCCGCAGCUCAACUGUGGGCUUGCAGCUGAUACGGGCAGGCUUGAGUUCGGUAGGGGAGACUGGAAUUCCCGGUGUAGCGGUGAAAUGCGCAGAUAUCGGGAAGAACACCCGUGGCGAAGGCGGCUCUCUGGGACGGUACUGACGCUGAGACGCGAAAGCGUGGGGAGCGAACAGG
rnacentral:rRNA from 1 species